AGAUACACACCCCUCCACCCAGACCUGGAAAGAUCAAUCCUUUCCACCGGUGCCUUGUAGCGAAGGGCCGCGAGAGCGUCCCUAACAGGUAAUGCCAUGCAGGUAACAGAAAUUAAGCUUUUGCCAGAAGCUGCAUCCGAAACGAUCACUGAUCCAGCAGGAGAUGGCCAGCACCCACAGGCCAACAGCAGACCAGCAUAACCGCAGCACCUUCGGAAGCCUCGACCAGGAGCAAUGGUGACCAACCUGUCCUUGAUGAAGGAGGGGAAGAGCCUCCGUGGAAACCAGAGACCAUAGCAGAGCCCCAGGACCCACAGGAUGGACAGCUCAUCCAGCAUCUGGCCCAUGAAGCUCAGGGUCAUGUGGAAGUAGGCAGAGAAGAGACCUGUAGGGAGGGGACACAUGUUAAUGCCCCGUUCCUAAAUGGCCCCCAGCCCCUACCCAGUAUCAAUUGGGAAGAGGUUAAGAGCUAUUAUUGAAUUCUGAAUGAACUGAAAGCACCCUGAUGAGGCCACCCUUGAAGUGGAGUUAUAACUGAAUGAAGGUUGGCCUGCUGUUUGGAAAGGAGAGUGAAGACACACCCACAAAGAUCAUCAUGGUCCAGACCAGGUGUACCGCUAGGUUCCUCUCCCUGGCGUAGGGGUGCAGCAGGUACAGCAUGAUGGGGGAGAUCACGAAGAAGAACAGGCUGCUCAUCUGGAGAAACAGAAAGGACUGUUCUAAAAUAAGGAUUCACAAUGUAAUGUAGUGUGUGAUGCACCUGUCCACUACAUCUAUCAUCAUUGUUGUCAUACAGGAUGGUCCACAACAGAUACAAUACAAGAGUACAGCAGACAAGUGAGUUGCAAUGUAGUUUCAGAAAGGUACAUUUCUCAGCUGGAUAUUGUAAGAAAUAAAUCAUGUACACUUACAGUGUUGAAGUACUCCACUAUGUUUUCAGAGUGCCUGUAGUUAU